CUCGUAGCUUGCUAUGAGAACAAUUAGUGGCAGACGGGUGAGUAAUGCAUAGGAAUCUACCUAGUAGUAUAGGAUAGCCACUAGGAAUGGUGGGUAAUACUGUAUAAUCCCUGCGGGGGAAAGAUUUAUCGCUACAUGAUGAGCCUAUGUUAGAUUAGCUAGUUGGUGGGGUAAUGGCCUACCAAGGCAGUGAUCUAUAGCUGGUCUGAGAGGAUGAUCAGCCACACUGGAACUGAGACACGGUCCAGACUCCUACGGGAGGCAGCAGUGGGGAAUAUUGGACAAUGGGCGCAAGCCUGAUCCAGCUAUGCCGCGCGAGUGAGGAAGGCCUUAGGGUUGUAAAACUCUUUCAGUGGGGAAGAUAAUGACGGUACCCACAGAAGAAGUCCCGGCAAACUCCGUGCCAGCAGCCGCGGUAAUACGGAGGGGGCAAGCGUUGUUCGGAAUUAUUGGGCGUAAAGGGCAUGUAGGUGGUUUGGUAAGUUAAAGGUGAAAUGCCAGGGCUUAACCCUGGAGCUGCUUUUAAUACUGCCAGACUGGAGUCCGGGAGA
rnacentral:rRNA from 1 species